UACACCCUCCUCGGCCUCCCAAAGUGCUGAGAUUACAGGUGUGAGCCACCACACCCGGUCUAAUGUUUAUUUUGUCUGGAAUUAUCUUCCUAGGAUUUUUACUGGGUCUACCAGACUGGAUGGAAAUGCAAUAGUUGACUUUGUCCGCUGGCUGUGUGCUGUGUCCAUGGAUGAACUGGCUUCCCCCCACCAUCCUCGCAUGUUCAGCUUGCAGAAGAUUGUGGAGAUAUCAUACUACAACAUGA
rnacentral:lncRNA from 10 species